rnacentral:rRNA from 1 species
AUGGCUCCGUCGCAGCCCAAGUCGGGCCUCUUCGUGGGCAUCAACAAGGGCCACGUCGUCACCAAGCGCGAGCUGCCGCCACGCCCGUCCGACCGCAAGGGGAAAGGUACCAAGAGGGUGCAUUUCGUCAGGAACUUGAUCAGGGAGGUCGCUGGGUUUGCUCCGUAUGAGAAGCGUAUCACUGAGCUUCUCAAGGUUGGCAAGGACAAGCGUGCCCUGAAGGUGGCGAAGCGAAAGUUGGGUACCCACAAGAGGGCGAAGAAGAAGAGAGAGGAGAUGUCCAGUGUCCUCAGGAAGAUGAGAUCUGCUGGAACUGGAACCGAGAAGAAGAAAUAG